GGGGGUGUAGUUCAGUGGUAAAAUGCUUGCCUAAGGUGCAAGUUCUUGGGUUCAAUCCCUAGUCACACACA
rnacentral:tRNA from 1 species